GCGUGUGGCACCAGUGAGCCUGUACAUGCAGUAGCUGAUUCCACAAACACAGCGCAGCUCCAAGACACUGUAGAUUGUGCAGAUGAAGGACCACUCACAAUGCCUGCAGCAAGUGAGACUGCUGCUCCCUCUGAAGAGAAAAAUGCUGCUCAAUCCCACAAUUCCCGAAGAGCUCCCAAAAACAUGUGGUCCAAGGCUGAGGUUGCUGCAGUGAUGAGGCAUUUUAAAGACCACAUAAACGAAGGGAAACUAGCCACCAAAAAUGAAUGCAGUCAUUGCAAA